rnacentral:lncRNA from 1 species
UGAACAAAUUGAGAACGUUGCAUUUGAACACUUUUGCGGUUGAUCACGACUUCGGUUUUAGGGUCUGCUCUGCCAGCAUUUGGGGUGACCCAGGUCCCUUACCUACUGUGCUUUCUCCUGGUCCCCGCCCCUAGUUCUUCAGUGAGAGUUGAGAAAUAACGUACAAAUCUUAAAUUCUUAUUUUCAUAGCACAAAGUCUGAACAGUCUGGCUUAUGAACUCAGAUUAAGAUGUGUGCUUCCAGUUAUGUUUGGGACAGGGUGUCCACAGUGCAUAGGACUGAAAGAUGUCACCCUCAAGUCGUUUUUCCAAGGGGUCCAAGAGGGUUGUGGGGAGAGGGAGGCCAACUCGUCCUACUUUUCUCAGACUUUGCUGGUUUUAAAACUGAAAAUCCUAUGUAGCAGGAAAUUCCUGAGUCCUGGGUAAAUCCGGAUGGUGAAGCCCCUGUCGGGGGGAGGGGGGGGCGGUAAAAAAUAGUGUCAUUUUCUGUCAUUUGGGAUGGCAGUGGUUGAGUGUUCAGGAUAAAUCUGAAUGUGCACCUCAAGACCACCAGGGGGCGCCAACAGCAUCUUCCAGUUUUUCCCCAGUUGGCCAUUUGUGGGCAGGUCCUGGAAACCACAGUUAGGAACCAAGAUUAAAGAAAGUGAACUUGUCCCAGGUAGAGCCCUUAUCCUCUUGUGCAUCUCUUCCCUGUUAAAUUUUUGGACAGGGAGAUUCUGAAAUCCAUCUUGCCAAAUUAAAAAGUUGGGGGAAAAGUUGACCGACUCCAACUAGAAAGCUCCAUGCGUGUCUUGUCCUCCAGAGGCUGUGGCCCCAGAGGUGACAGGCAGGAACCAGCAGGCCUCCUGGAAAUUCAGGUCAAACUGUUACUGGAGUUCCCAAGUCCACACACAGGAGCUGCAGUCUUGGCUUGAUUGUUGGUGAGUUCAACACAGGGCUUCUUGGUGCCCGUGAUCAUCAUGCUAAUCCCCGGCAGAUGAGUGGAAAGACUCCGUGCAGGAAGUUUCUAGAGGCAGGCUGAGUAUUACCUGCUUCAGGGUUUAUCCUUUUACAUGACCAUUUAGUUGACCCAAUGAGUUGUCUUGGGGAAAGGCCUUAUGGAAAUCCAGCUGUAUGAGUUUUCUUUUGCUGCUAUAACAAAUCAUCACGGACUUGGAGGCUUUAAACCACUCAGAUUCACUACCUUACAGUUCUGUUGGCGCUUAGCACUCUUGGGGCCAGUGCAGGCCCUGGUCUUACCUGCCUUAGAAAAAUUCCAGACUCACACUCUUGGCCAGUGACUGGAAGCUGAUACCUGGAUUAGAGUGCAUGAGUCAGGUCUUCUUGGAAGUCCCUGGUCCUGCCUGCCCUAUUGGGAAGAAGAGGUGGAACCCUGGGCUCAAAUUCCCAGCUCUGCAGGACUCUCUGGUUUCUGCAGGCAGAUGC